rnacentral:tRNA from 1 species
GCUGACGUAGCUCAAUUGGCAGAGCAGCUGAUUUGUAAUCAGCAGGUUGUGAGUUCGAUUCUCACCGUCAGCU